rnacentral:sRNA from 1 species
GGAUAAACGAUUAACUUGGUGUGGUGUCAAACAUUGGAAUUGUGACUAUAUUGCUGCCACGUUCUAAAAGAAAAUAAUAUUUUGUUAUCUAAAGAUUUGAAUCUGCAUCAGUAACAAAACUGGCCAAAAAAAAAAUCAAAGUAGCAAAUAUAUUUUUGUUAGUUUUUCCCAAAUGAUUUUCUUUAUAUUUUUUAAGAGAAAAAAAGUUAAAGAAUAUCCAUUUUUGUAUUUUUUAAAGUAGACUUCCCUGCUUAAUAUUAUCAAAUGAAAAUGUAUAUAUUCAGCAUUUUAUGCUAAAAAGGAUUUUAAUGUUUGAUUUUUGGUGUUAAAAAGCAACAAUGAAAGACGAAUUGCAACAAAGUAUUUGAUUAAAAUUUUUCGGGAACUCCAAAAAAUAUACACUCAUCGGAUAGAAAUGCUUGCAUAGCAAUUAAGAUGUGCUCCUACUCGAGGGACAUCAUCAUGUAUAAUACGGUAUGCUAGGAAUUGAAAGACAUUUUUAUGUAAUGAUCAUUUUUUAUAUUCACAUGUUUAUUUUUUAGACGUUGUGUAAAUAAUAUUUGCUUAAUAAAAGUAUGCAAUCA